GACGAACGCUGGCGGCGUGCCUAAUACAUGCAAGUCGAACGAGAGCGACCGGUGCUUGCACUGGUCAAUCUAGUGGCGAACGGGUGAGUAACACGUGGGUAACCUGCCCAUCAGAGGGGGAUAACAUCCGGAAACGGAUGCUAAAACCGCAUAGGUCUUCGAACCGCAUGGUUUGAAGAGGAAAAGAGGCGCAAGCUUCUGCUGAUGGAUGGACCCGCGGUGCAUUAGCUAGUUGGUGAGGUAACGGCUCACCAAGGCCGUGAUGCAUAGCCGACCUGAGAGGGUGAUCGGCCACAUUGGGACUGAGACACGGCCCAAACUCCUACGGGAGGCAGCAGUAGGGAAUCUUCCGCAAUGGACGCAAGUCUGACGGAGCAACGCCGCGUGAGUGAAGAAGGUUUUCGGAUCGUAAAACUCUGUUGUUAGAGAAGAACAAGUGCUAGAGUAACUGUUAGCGCCUUGACGGUAGCUAACCAGAAAGCCACGGCUAUCUACGUG
rnacentral:rRNA from 1 species